GACGAACGCUGGCGGCGUGCUUAACACAUGCAAGUCGAACGAAGUGGCGCACGGGUGAGUAACGCGUAAUCAACCUGCCCUUCAGAGGGGGACAAAAGUUGGAAACGACUGCUAAUACCGCAUACUGAAGGAGGGGAGUGCGUCUGAUUAGCUAGUUGGAGGGGUAACGGCCCAACAAGGGGAUGAUCAGUAGCCGUUCUGUGAGGAUGACCGGCCACAUUGGGACUAAGACACGGUCCAGACUCCUACGGGUGGCAGCAGUGGGGAAUAUUGGACAAUGGGCGAAAGCCUGAUCCAGCCAUGCCGCGUGUGUAAAGAAGGUCUUCGGAUUGUAAAGCACUUUAAGUUGGGAGGCGUUACCCGCAGAAGAAGCACCGGCUAACUCCGUGCCAGCAGCCGCGGUAAUUC
rnacentral:rRNA from 1 species